rnacentral:tRNA from 1 species
ACUUGAGUAGCUUAAAUUUUAAAAGUUUGACAUUGAAGCUGUCAGGAUGGUGUUAUACCCUUAGGUA